GGAAGGCAGGAGUGGGGCUGCGGAGCCGGUGGGGAAACAAGUGGCUCGCCUGGCGGGCGAGGACAGAGCCAAGGCUGGGCACCUAAGCGCGCAUCGCGCCUGGAGCUCCUACAGGGAGUGGGUUGGGGGGGCACCGUCUCGUGGGUAGGCCCCCGCUGCUUGAGCCAUUUGGGGACAAAUCCGAGGGAGCCCCGUUGGGCUUCUGGGAUUUGAACAAAAGGAAUGAAAUCAAGGCCGAGGCUUGGAGUCUAAUAUAAACAGUCCGCUAGACGAGAUCCACCUUCAAGAAGGGCUUUCACAGACGAGCGAUUUCUGCGGGGUGGGUGAAGGACUGGGAACUCAGGGAGCCCCCCGUUUAUUCCUUCCUUCUUCUGUUGCCUCCUUGGAGAAGAAACUUUUGAGAGGGGGCAGCAGAAGAGCUGUGUGGGAAACCCAGGGCACCAUAUGCAUGUCGUGUAGGCAUGCAUGCCUUUGUGUGGCAGAGAGCACACCCUAGCCCUGGUUCACAGAUUAAAAGUUUGCUAACCACGGAUCCUAAGUUGGUACUGUAUCUGUUCCGCAACUUUACCACAAGGAGUGUGCCUGAGCCAGCACUUUUGCAAUUGAUUUUCUCAAGCCAGAGAGACUUGCUUACUGGAAAGUUUUCCAAACCAAUUCUGCCCAUCAUUGUAUUUUGCCCAGCAGUGCUUGCCUCAUGAGUGAAGAGAUCACCCACCCAGCUGCUCUGCAACUAACCCCUGUUAAAAGACCCCUCCGGCUCCAGAUUUACUGCUGAUAUAUAGUUUGCUCAGAGCCAGAAGAUGAUUGUGCAGCAGGGGCCUUUCAGCCUGCAGGUGCUUGCCUGAACUGUCAUAAGGCAUUUUGGUUCACUUGCCUAGAAGCUAGCUGAUUGAAGACAAGCCCUCAUAUCCCAAAAUACACAGAGACCCAGUGAUACAUGCUCAGCCAUGGGCAGGACUCCUGGCAAACACAUCAUUUCUCCAGAAUUGCCUGAGCUGGAUUAGGACCGGUCUUCUCAUCGAGCAGCAUGCGCCAUUUAUCUACAUGCGGGAAAAGCAGCAGGGCAAGUGUGCUCCAGGAAUAAAAGCUCCGCUGGCUUUUGGCUUCUGUUUGGAAAUACUAGAAACCCACUGUCUGAUGCAGGUGUCAAUUGGCACCUGCUGUAGGAAUUGAAUUGGUAAUUGUUAUCUAAUUGCACUGUUUUACAUACUGCAUGAGAGAGAAAGAUGGAGCUGGGGAGGAUGAACACUGAGCACAUUUCUUCCUUUCCUCUCUUCACCUUCCUGCGCAGCCAGCCCCAAAUCUCAGCCCAUGUUUCUAAUGCCCACUCUGCAAUGCUGUCCCCCCUCCCUUAGGAAUGCUCCCCCUCCCCACGCUUCUGUUCAGUCUUUGCUGUGUCUACACUUUCUCAAAACUGCGGAAAUUGCAGGGAGCAGCGAGGUCUGGACUGAAAGUGCUGAUGUAGGGAAGCAGCGCUCACAGCUGUUUCUUGCUUAGGUGCCUGGGACAGGAAUGCUGCGGCAUGCUCCAAGCCCAGAGAUGAGGCACUGCAUAAACUACUGUAGCAAUGGAGAAAAGCCUGAGCCAGAUCCGUUUUCCCCUCCGGAGUUCCAACAGGAGACAAGGCACCCCCCUUUUUCUUUCACACACACACUCUAUUGAUACAAGAUCUCAUGCAAAAGUGAGAGGAAGCUGAACCUGAUUCUUGAAGAAAAGACCACCUUACACAAUGCUUGACACAAUGCAGCAGCUUGCUGACACUUCCCUUUUCCCACCCACAGAGUUUUAGCAAUAAAGUUGUCUGCCUAAAUGUGCUGAGUCUGUAAUCCUGUGAGGAGCAGGAGAUGUGUUAAAUGAUGGUGGUACUGUACUGAAAAGCCUGAUGAGAUCCGAUAGCCAGAUUAAAGGAGGAGCAGGAAGAGGAGGAUUGAAGGGUAGAUGGUACAAAAGAAGCUCUGACCCAUAUCAGACAUUACUCUAACAGCUAGCGCCAAAAAGAAAAGCCAUUUGUGUGCAGGGUCUCCCCAUUCUGGAUGCUGAAUUGUUGCUCCAGACACUUGGGUUUGAAGAUAUUAUUACAAAUAAAGAGUGGAAAUGGAGUGCCUUUAAGUGAAAUUAAGCACUCAAGAAAUUCCAGUCUAGGUUGUCGGUUGCUCUGUAACUCUUUGAAAUGUAAUUUGGUACUGGCAAUUCAAUCUUUGAAAUUAUGAAUCAGCCUUACUGCUGCUGCAGGUUCUAUCUAGUGAUAGUUCUGGGUAUAUAAUCCAUUAUGUUAGCUAAGUCAUUCUCUUCUGCCUUUUUAUUUCUCUUUCCUUUCACUUUUCACACUUUCCUUCUUUCUAGGCAAGGGUAUAGGGCCUAGGAAGAACAAGAUUGUUGGGUGAACGUUUAAAUAGAUUAUUUGUUUUAAAACCCUUUUGAAAACUCCUCAUAAUGUAGAUAAAAGGGUGCAAAGUUUACAACCACCAAAGUAACAAUCAUCUUUUGCGGAGAGAUACAGUGGUGCCUCAGGUUAAGUACUUAAUUCGUUCCAGAGGUCCGUACUUAACCUGAAACUGUUCUUAACCUGAAGCACCACUUUAGCUAAUGGGGCCUCCCGCUGCUGCCGCACCACUGGAGCACAAUUUCUGUUCUCAUCCUGAAGCAAAGUUCUUAACCCGAGGUGCUAUUUCUGGGUUAGCGGAGUCUGUAACCUGAAGCAUAUGUAACCCGAGGUACCACUGUACACCUAUACCUGAGUAAAACUGGUAUUUGUGCUUGUUAAACAUACAGAAUCCAUAGAUGUAAUAGUAAACAACAAACUGCAUUCUGACAUGUCACACUUCUAACGUACACUGAAUAGAAAUUGUUCUGGUUAUAUUUAUUCAUGAAAAUAAUAAAAACAAAUUAUUUAAAA